AGACCUCUCUAGGAACAGCCGCGCCUGCCACUAGCCGGGCUUCCGCUGUGGGAAGCACUUCCUUCUUCCCGUCUAGGAAUUGCCUCUCUGUCGUUUUAACCCAUAAGAGGAAGGCAUUGGGAUGCUGACAGACAAGCGGAGUUAACCCUUGAGAGGCCAGGGGACCGGGGUGAGCGGGAAAGGCCGAGGUGAGGUGGCGGCGGAGAAGGAAAAGGGCUUUCAAUGGCUUCGGUCACAGGGGAAAACGGGGGUUUGGCCGGCAGAGGGGAAGCGAUCCAACCGGUGUUGUUGUCUGUUUUCCGGGCUGUCAGGCCAUGUUCCAGAAGCAUUCUCUCCUGGCGUUUCGCCUACAUCUAUGGCAGGCAUUCUCAGAGGUUAUGAUCCAGCCGGUGUCCGAGGAGAAGAGAAACGGGGUGGAAGUGGGCCUCGUCACCGGGGAACAGUUAAGGAUGUUUUUUUUAAAAACUUUUAAUCUUUAUCGAGGUUUUAUUUAUAAAGAUAAAAAUCGGCAGAUUAAAGUAAUAAAAGCAUUAAAAGGUUUGGGGGGUCGGGGGUAGAAGGGGAAGUGAGGAAAGGGAGGAGUGAAAAGACAAAGUGUGGGAAGAGAAAAGAGAAGACGAAGUAAUCAAAAAGAUCAGAGAAGACAGACAGACCAAGCUCUGUUGGUUGUUGACUUCUAGAAAUAUCUUCUUUGCGGUUUUUUCCUUUUCCGUCUUCCAGAUCUUCUUCACAUCCUUUUUCUCCUUGACUCUGGUUUAUUGAGUAUUAUUUUCUUCCUCAUUUUCUUUAUUGAUUUGUUGAGUAUUUAUCCUAUUUAUUUUCUUAUUUUCCUUUCCUUUGUGUUCAAUUUGUUCAUGUCUAUAUAUAUGUAUAUGCUUAUAUCACUGUCUUGUAUUUUUUUGUUUUGUUUUAAGUAUUUUAUAACACUGCUCCAGUUGUUGGAGACUAGCCCAGAGGGGAAGUAAAGGAGAGAAAUAAAAGGGAGAGCAAUAAAACAAGCCUUUUAUUAUUAUCCCAGCUGAUCAUAAGGCAAAACAGCCAUAGGUACCCAUUUUGUGGGUCCGUACCAUGCAAAUGGCCAUCGCAACAUGUACGUAGCAAACAAAGAAUUUUAUAUCUUGGCUUAUCUAAAAUUGACCAAUGGCUGAGGGUCUUCCUCACCUUCCACACCUACUUGGCACAAGUGUUACCAAUGACCUAACUUGUUUACUCUGAGCUUUCUUCUCCCUUUGGAACUUCCGGGAGAAAGGCACCAGCUCACAGGAAGGGAGGGGCACAGGCCCUGUGUUGCACAUACUACUUUGGUUCAUACAAAGUGCUUAUAUUGUCUAUAUAAAGGCUAUAUGAUAUAUGGAGAGGCAAAGCUAUGUUAGGCAAAAGUUUACUGUUUUCUGGCUUAUGGUCCCUACAGCCUGUCUCUUUCAUUGGGUUUCCCUUACUUUUAGAUAGUAAAAAAGUAAGUCUGUCCAUAUUUCUAAUGUCUUGGACUUUUUUCAGCCACACAUCUUCCUCCAGGAUCUCCUUAUUUUUCCAUAACCUAGCAUAACAUAUCAUUGCGGCUGUUGUUAAAAGGAAGAGGAGCUUAUCUUUAUUUUUCUCAGUUUUUUGGAUGAUUCGAGUGGGCUGGAACAAACUUCUCCUAUGGAAGAGACUGCUGAGACAGAAGAGAACCCAGCAGCACCUGAGGGAGAGGCUCCAACCAAAAUGGCUGAAGGGGAGCCAGAGGAAGAAGUAGCUCAAGAGAUGACGUUGGAUGAAUGGAAAAACCUCCAGGAACAAAGCCCACCAAAGCCUGAAUUCAACAUCUGAAAGCCUGAAACCACUGUUCCUUCCAAAGCAGUGGUGAGUCACAAGUCAAAACAUAGAGAUGAUGUAAAGGACGACUUUGAGGAUGAUUCUCAUUUUCCUGAAAAGCAGCAAAUGACAGCACUUCUCAGCUAGACAUUAACUUUGGGAGCCUGCCUCGUCCUGGGCAUGGAGCUAGAGCGGCAUGAGGCGUUGAGGAUUCAGGAUCCAGAGGUCGAGGGGCCAAACUGAGGCCAUCCUACUUUGGACAUAAAUAUGAGAUAUUGCACCUCCCUGGAAAAGACAACUAUGUUCUGCAAAGUGGAAGGCAUCAGGAAAAGAGAGGCUGAAUUACAAUGGGUUGAUCCACUCAAGGAAACCUGCUUAUGUGACAGACUGCAUAGGUAACCUUGGUUGACGGCCUACAGAGGGACACAGACAGAUGUGGAGAAUGUGCCCCUAUUGAUUCCAAUGAACAUUUCAGCAGGUCUUAAUACCAUCAAUGAUGGUAUCCUUCCUUUGUAGAUGGGAAUUGGAGACAUUUAACAAUGGCUCUGUUCCUUCUGGGAGAGGCAAACCCAGAAAGUGCUGAUGGGUUUGCCUGUUCGAUCCCUUGCCCAUUGCCUGUGGGAUCCCCGGGCAUCUGUUUUGUCCCCUAUGUAAUUAACAGAUAUGGGAGAGCUCAUCCAGAGUUUUGGAGUGUGGUGCCUCUAUAUGCAGAUGACACCAAGCUCUACUCCUCCUUUCCAACUAAACCAAUGUCUCUCACCCGUAAUGGGCUGGAGGGGGCAAACUGGAACUUAAUCCAGAACAGAUAGAGGUGCUACAGGUCGGUCAGAAGGCAGAUAAGGGAACAGGGAUUCAGCCUGUGAUGGAUGGGGUUACAUUACCACUGAAGACACGGUUCCGCAGUUUGGGGGAUACUCCUUGGACUGGAAAUGGAAUUUGAAGUCCCAGGUUUCAUACAUGGCCAGGAGUGCCUUGCAUAUUGCACAUUUGCGCACCUACUGCAGCUGUUCCUUGAGAAGCCAAACCUGCCUAAUACGCUCUACCUAGGUCAGCCUUUGAAGAUUUUAAAAACCUUUGGCUGGUCCAAAGAAUUGCAGUCAAGACUGUUAACCAGGGCUGGUUACAGAGAUCACAUAAGUCAUUAUUGGGCUUUAUAUUGGGAUACAUUUGUAUCAAGUUCAGAAAUUCCAGCCUCUUUGGUUACAGGAACACCCAGGAGUGAACAUAUUACACAUAUCCUAAUGUCACUCCACUAGCUACCAAUUAGUUUCCAGGCAAAGUACAAAGUGUUGGUUUUGACCUGAUUUGGGUCCAGGUUACCUACAGGAAUGCCUUCUCCCUUACAAUCAGCCCCAAACACUUAGGUCCUCUGGGGGCGUCUGCUCCAGCCUUCCAGAAGCCGACUUGAAACCGCCAUCCAGAGGACCUUCUCAUCGGCCACCCCAAGACUGUGGAACGACCUGCCAGUACAGCUCCGACAGCUAGAUCAGCUGUUCAAAUUUAAGACACAAGCGAAGACCUAUCUCUUCCAAGUGCAAAGAAGCCAGACUUUUGUAUUGUUUAUAUUAAUAUUUUAAAAUAUGUGUAUUUUACGGAGUUUUUUAAAAUGAUGAUUAUGUGUUUUGACAAUGCUGUAACCAACCUCAAGCUGUGAGGAGAGGUGGAUAAAAAAUAAAAUUACUAUUAUUAUUUGCUG